CGCGUAGGCGGAAAAGAAAGUGUCUUGUGAAAGCCCUCGGCUCAACCGAGGAACUGCUUGGCAAACUACUUUUCUUGAGGCAAGUAGGGGUACAUGGAACUCUUAGUGGAGCGGUGGAAUGCGUAGAUAUUAAGAGGAACGCCAAUGGUGAAGACAGUGUACUGGGCUUGUCCUGACGCUGAGGUGCGAAAGCGUGGGGAGCGAACAGGAUUAGAUACCCUGGUAGUCC
rnacentral:rRNA from 1 species